rnacentral:rRNA from 1 species
AAAGCCGAAAUUUCAAGUAAACAAAAAUGCCUAACUAUAUAACCAAAGCGAAUAUAAUACACUUGAAUAAUUUGAACGAAAGGGAAUACGGUUCCCAAUUCCGUAACCUGUUGAGUAUCCGUUUGUUAUUAAAUAUGGGCCUCGUGCUCAUCCUGGCAACAGGAACGACCAUAAAGAAGCCGUCGAGAGAUAUCGGAAGAGUUUUCUUUUCUGUUUUAUAGCCGUACUACCAUGGAAGUCUUUCGCAGAGAGAUAUGGUAGAUGGGCUAGAAGAGCAUGACAUAUACUGUUGUGUCGAUAUUUUCUCCUCGGACCUUGAAAAUUUAUGGUGGGGACACGCAAACUUCUCAACAGGCCGUACCAAUAUCCGCAGCUGGUCUCCAAGGUGAAGAGUCUCUAGUCGAUAGAAUAAUGUAGGUAAGGGAAGUCGGCAAAUUAGAUCCGUAACUUCGGGAUAAGGAUUGGCUCUGAAGAUUGAGAUAGUCGGGCUUGAUUGGGAAACAAUAACAUGGUUUAUGUGCUCGUUCUGGGUAAAUAGAGUUUCUAGCAUUUAUGUUAGUUACUUGUUCCCCGGAUAGUUUAGUUACGUAGCCAAUUGUGGAACUUUCUUGCUAAAAUUUUUAAGAAUACUAUUUGGGUUAAACCAAUUAGUUCUUAUCAAUUAUAACGAUUAUCAAUUAACAAUCAAUUCAGAACUGGCACGGACUUGGGGAAUCCGACUGUCUAAUUAAAACAAAGCAUUGUGAUGGCCCUAGCGGGUGUUGACACAAUGUGAUUUCUGCCCAGUGCUCUGAAUGUCAAAGUGAAGAAAUUCAAGUAAGCGCGGGUCAACGGCGGGAGUAACUAUGACUCUCUUAAGGUAGCCAAAUGCCUCGUCAUCUAAUUAGUGACGCGCAUGAAUGGAUUAACGAGAUUCCUACUGUCCCUAUCUACUAUCUAGCGAAACCACAGCCAAGGGAACGGGCUUGGAAUAAUUAGCGGGGAAAGAAGACCCUUUUGAGCUUGACUCUAAUCUGGCAGUGUAAGGAGACAUAAGAGGUGUAGAAUAAGUGGGAGAUAUUAGACCUCGGUUUGGUAUCGUCAAUGAAAUACCACUACUCUUAUUGUUUCCUUACUUACUUGAUUAAAUGGAACGUGUAUCAUUUCCUAGCCAUUAUACGGAUAUAUUUAUUAUAUCUUAUGGUAUUGGGUUUUGAUGCAAGCUUCUUGAUCAAAGUAUCACGAGUUUGUUAUAUAAUCGCAAACAAAUUCUUUAAUAAAACGAUGCAUUUAUGUAUUUUUGAUUUGGAAAAUUUGGUAUAACUCCAAUUACUCAGGUAUGAUCCAAUUCAAGGACAUUGCCAGGGUAGGGAGUUUGACUGGGGCGGGUACAUCUCUCAAAUAAUAACGGAGGUGUCCCAAGGCCAGCUCAGUGCGGACAGAAACCACACAUAGAGCAAAAGGGCAAAUGCUGACUUGAUCUCGGUGUUCAGUACACACAGGGACAGCAAAAGCUCGGCCUAUCGAUCCUUUUGGUUUAAAGAGUUUUUAACAAGAGGUGUCAGAAAAGUUACCAUAGGGAUAACUGGCUUGUGGCGGCCAAGCGUUCAUAGCGACGUCGCUUUUUGAUCCUUCGAUGUCGGCUCUUCCUAUCAUUGUGAAGCAAAAUUCACCAAGCGUUGGAUUGUUCACCCAUGCAAGGGAACGUGAGCUGGGUUUAGACCGUCGUGAGACAGGUUAGUUUUACCCUACUAAUGACAAAACGUUGUUGCGACAGCAUUCCUGCGUAGUACGAGAGGAACCGCAGGUACGGACCAAUGGCACAAUACUUGUUCGAGCGAACAGUGGUAUGACGCUACGUCCGUUGGAUUAUGCCUGAACGCCUCUAAGGUCGUAUCCGUGCUGGACUGCAAUGAUAAAUAAGGGGCAAUUUGCAUUGU